rnacentral:rRNA from 1 species
AUUGAACGCUGGCGGCAGGCCUAACACAUGCAAGUCGAGCGGAUGACGGGAGCUUGCUCCUUGAUUCAGCGGCGGACGGGUGAGUAAUGCCUAGGAAUCUGCCUGGUAGUGGGGGACAACGUUUCGAAAGGAACGCUAAUACCGCAUACGUCCUACGAGAGAAAGCAGGGGACCUUCGGGCCUUGCGCUAUCAGAUGAGCCUAGGUCGGAUUAGCUAGUAGGUGAGGUAAUGGCUCACCUAGGCGACGAUCCGUAACUGGUCCGAGAGGAUGAUCAGUCACACUGGAACUGAGACACGGUCCAGACUCCUACGGGAGGCAGCAGUGGGGAAUAUUGGACAAUGGGCGAAAGCCUGAUCCAGCCAUGCCGCGUGUGUGAAGAAGGUCUUCGGAUUGUAAAGCACUUUAAGUUGGGAGGAAGGGCAGUAAGCGAAUACCUUGCUGUUUUGACGUUACCGACAGAAUAAGCACCGGCUAACUCUGUGCCAGCCGCCGCUGUAAAAC